AUGCCGUGGUGUGGGCAUGUUGCGAUGUAUUCCUGGAGACGUUCCCAGGCUUCCGGGAUGGUUUCAUCCUAGAGCUAUUAAAAACUCAAAAUCCUAUUCUGAAGAGCGU